GCUUGUCUCAAAGAUUAAGCCAUGCAUGUCUAAGUACAAGCCUCAGUAAGGUGAAACCGCGAAUGGCUCAUUAAAUCACACCUAAUCUACUGGAAAGUUACUAGUUACUUGGAUAACUGAGGUAAUUCUUGAGCUAAUACAUGCGAAAAAUCUCGACUCACGGAGAGAUGCUUUUAUUAGAUCAAAACCAAACGGCUUCGGCCGUCUCAUUGGUGAUUCAUAAUAACUAAGCGAAUCGCAUGGGCUCGCCCGGCGAUAGACCUUUCAAGUUUCUGAUCUAUCAGCUAUUGACGGUAGGGUAUUGGCCUACCGUGGCGAUGACGGAUAAAGGGGGAUUAGGGUUCGACUCCUGAGAGGGAGCCUGAGAAACGGCUACCACAUCUAAGGAAGGCAGCAGG
rnacentral:rRNA from 1 species